GGGUUGUGAGGUUAAGCGACUAAGCGUACACGGUGGAUGCCCUGGCAGUCAGAGGCGAUGAAGGACGUGCUAAUCUGCGUAAAGCGACGGUAAGGUGAUAUGAACCGCUACAGCCGUCGAUGUCCGAAUGGGGAAACCCGGUGCACUCAGUGCAUCAUUGCAGCAUGAAUACAUAGUGCUGCAAGGCGAACCGGGGGAACUGAAACAUCUAAGUACCCCGAGGAAAAGAAAUCAACCGAGAUUCCCCCAGUAGCGGCGAGCGAACGGGGAGCAGCCCAGAGCCUGAAUCAGCAUGUGUGUUAGUGGAAGCGUCUGGAAAGUCGCAGGGUACAGGGUGAUACUCCCGUACACAAAAGCACACGCGCUGUGAGCUCGAUGAGUAAGGCGGGACACGUGGUAUCCUGUCUGAAUAUGGGGGGACCAUCCUCCAAGGCUAAAUACUCCUGACUGACCGAUAGUGAACCAGUACCGUGAGGGAAAGGCGAAAAGAACCCCGGCGAGGGGAGUGAAACAGAACCUGAAACCGUGUACGUACAAGCAGUGGGAGCACCCUUGUGGUGUGACUGCGUACCUUUUGUAUAAUGGGUCAGCGACUUAUAUUCUGUAGCAAGGUUAACCGUAUAGGGGAGCCGCAGGGAAACCGAGUCUUAACUGGGCGUUAAGUUGCAGGGUAUAGACCCGAAACCCGGUGAUCUAGCCAUGGGCAGGUUGAAGGUUGGGUAACACUAACUGGAGGACCGAACCGACUAAUGUUGAAAAAUUAGCGGAUGACCUGUGGCUGGGGGUGAAAGGCCAAUCAAACCGGGAGAUAGCUGGUUCUCCCCGAAAGCUAUUUAGGUAGCGCCUCGUGAACUCAUCUCCGGGGGUAGAGCACUGUUUCGGCUAGGGGGCCAUCCCGGCUUACCAACCCGAUGCAAACUGCGAAUACCGGAGAAUGUUAUCACGGGAGACACACGGCGGGUGCUAACGUCCGUCGUGAAGAGGGAAACAACCCAGACCGCCAGCUAAGGUCCCAAAGUCAUGGUUAAGUGGGAAACGAUGUGGGAAGGCACAGACAGCCAGGAUGUUGGCUUAGAAGCAGCCAUCAUUUAAAGAAAGCGUAAUAGCUCACUGGUCGAGUCGGCCUGCGCGGAAGAUGUAACGGGGCUAAACCAUGCACCGAAGCUGCGGCAGCGACACU
rnacentral:rRNA from 1 species